rnacentral:rRNA from 1 species
UACGUAAGUGGCAAGCGUUAUCCGGAUUUACUGGGUGUAAAGGGAGCGUAGACGGUUUGGCAAGUCUGAUGUGAAAGGCAUGGGCUCAACCUGUGGACUGCAUUGGAAACUGUCAGACUUGAGUGCCGGAGAGGCAAGCGGAAUUCCUAGUGUAGCGGUGAAAUGCGUAGAUAUUAGGAGGAACACCAGUGGCGAAGGCGGCCUGCUGGACGGUAACUGACGUUGAGGCUCGAAAGCGUGGGGAGCAAACAGG